GAUGAACGCUAGCGGCAGGCUUAACACAUGCAAGUCGAGGGGUAGAGGUUGCUUGCAAUCUUGAGACCGGCGCACGGGUGCGUAACGCGUAUGCAACCUACCUUUUACAGAGGGAUAGCCCAGAGAAAUUUGGAUUAAUACCUCAUAGUAUAUGUUUUUCGCAUGUUAGACAUAUUAAAGUUCCAACGGUAAAAGAUGGGCAUGCGUCCUAUUAGCUAGAUGGUAAGGGAACGGCUUACCAUGGCAACGAUAGGUAGGGGUCCUGAGAGGGAGAUCCCCCACACUGGUACUGAGACACGGACCAGACUCCUACGGGAGGCAGCAGUGAGGAAUAUUGGACAAUGGGCGCAAGCCUGAUCCAGCCAUGCCGCGUGCAGGAAGAAGCAUCUAUGGUGUGUAAACUGCUUUUGUACAGGAAGAAACACCCCGACGUGUCGGGACUUGACGGUACUGUAAGAAUAAGGAUCGGCUAACUCCGUGCCAGCCGCCGCAGUAACAC
rnacentral:rRNA from 1 species